GAUGAACGCUGGCGGCGUGCCUAAUACAUGCAAGUCGAGCGAACAGAUGAGGAGCUUGCUCCUCUGACGUUAGCGGCGGACGGGUGAGUAACACGUGGAUAACCUACCUAUAAGACUGGGAUAACUUCGGGAAACCGGAGCUAAUACCGGAUAAUAUAUUGAACCGCAUGGUUCAAUAGUGAAAGACGGUUUUGCUGUCACUUAUAGAUGGAUCCGCGCCGCAUUAGCUAGUUGGUAAGGUAACGGCUUACCAAGGCAACGAUGCGUAGCCGACCUGAGAGGGUGAUCGGCCACACUGGAACUGAGACACGGUCCAGACUCCUACGGGAGGCAGCAGUAGGGAAUCUUCCGCAAUGGGCGCAAGCCUGACGGAGCAACGCCGCGUGAGUGAUGAAGGUCUUCGGAUCGUAAAGCUCUGUUAUUAGGGAAGAACAAAUGUGUAAGUAACUAUGCACGUCUUGACGGUACCUAAUCAGAAAGCCACGGCUAACUACGUG
rnacentral:rRNA from 1 species